rnacentral:RNase_P_RNA from 1 species
CCGGGCGAUCGUCGGCGGUCUUCGUGCCGCGGGAGGAAAGUCCGGACUCCGCAGGGCGCCGUAGGAGGUAACGCCUCUCCGCCGCGAGGCGCGGAUUAGAGCAACAGAGACGAGUCGGUCUUCGGACCGGGUGAAACGGGCAAUCUCUACGGGGAGCAACAUCAAAUAGGCAGCCGCAUGGAUCGGCCCGGUUCCGGCUGCGGGUAGAUGGCUUGAGGCGAUGCGCGAGCAUCGUCCUAGAAGAAUGAUCGCCGUUGCGCGCUUGCAUGCGCGCAAAACAGAAUCCGGCUUAUAAGGG